rnacentral:rRNA from 1 species
GCAGCAGCCGCGGGAACACGUAGGUGGCAAGCGUUGUCCGGAAUUAUUGGGCGUAAAGGGCUCGCAGGCGGUUUCUUAAGUCUGAUGUGAAAGCCCCCGGCUCAACCGGGGAGGGUCAUUGGAAACUGGGAAACUUGAGUGCAGAAGAGGAGAGUGGAAUUCCACGUGUAGCGGUGAAAUGCGUAGAGAUGUGGAGGAACACCAGUGGCGAAGGCGACUUUCUGGUCUGUAACUGACGCUGAGGAGCGAAAGCGUGGGGAGCGAACAGGAUUAGAUACCCCCGUAGUCCCUGUCUCUUAUAC